CCUACGGGUGGCAGCAGUGAGGAAUAUUGGUCAAUGGGCUUACGCCUGAACCAGCCAAGUCGCGUGAGGGAAGACUGCCCUAUGGGUUGUAAACCUCUUUUGUCAGGGAGCAAUUGGCGCUACGUGUAGCGUUAUCGAGAGUACCUGAAGAAAAAGCAUCGGCUAACUCCGUGCCAGCAGCCGCGGUAAUACGGAGGAUGCGAGCGUUAUCCGGAUUUAUUGGGUUUAAAGGGUGCGUAGGCGGAAUGCCAAGUCAGCGGUAAAAUCGCGGGGCUCAACCCCCGGACUGCUCUGGAAACUGCCAGGCUGGAGUGCAGGAGAGGUAAGUGGAAUUCCUAGUGUAGCGGUGAAAUGCGUAGAUAUUAGGAGGAACACCAGUGGCGAAGGCGGCUUACUGGACUGUAACUGACGUUGAGGCUCGAAAGCGUGGGGAGCAAACAGGAUUAGAUACCCCUGUAGUC
rnacentral:rRNA from 1 species